GCGGUGAGCAUGUGGUUUAAUUCGAUGAUACGCGAAAACCUUACCUGGGCUUGAACUGUACCUGACAGGUGUAGAGAUACACUCUUCUUCGGACAGGUAUAGAGGUGCUGCAUGGUUGUCGUCAGCUCGUGUCGUGAGAUGUUGGGUUAAGUCCCGCAACGAGCGCAACCCUUACUCUCUGUUGCCAUCAGGUAAUGCUGAGCACUCUGAGGGAACUGCCGGUGACAAACCGGAGGAAGGUGGGGAUGACGUCAAAUCAUCACGGCCCUUACGUCCAGGGCUACACACGUGCUACAAUGGCCGGUACAAAGAGCUGCGAUGCCGCGAGGUGGAGCUAAUCUCAAAAAACCGGUCUCAGUUCGGAUUGCAGUCUGCAACUCGACUGCAUGAAGUUGGAAUCGCUAGUAAUCGUAGAUCAGCACGCUACGGUGAAUACGUUCCCGGGCCUU
rnacentral:rRNA from 1 species